AAAGGGCAGCAGUAAAGGGGGAAAAGAGAAAAAAAAGUGAGGCAGAUGGUCAGAGGCAAUGGCAUGGAGCCAGGGGAAACAAAACAGCAGCACAGCAGAGAACACAAAAAGAAAGAAAAGAGGAAAGGAGGCAGGGCAAUUGGUACAGCCAGGACAGAGCCACUGCAGGCAGCAUGAGGCCAUCUCUGAGGCUUGGUGUGCAAGAGAGAGGGACGGAGUAAAUGCAGGGAGGGAUGGGAGGUGAGAAGAGAGAGUCAGAGGAAAUAUGAAGAAGGAACGUGAGUGUGGGAAGUGGGAGGUUCACACAAUUAAGGAGACGGUUCUGUGAGGGAGGAAAAGCAAUCAUGUGACUACAAGGGUGGCCUGUACAGAAAAGAGGGGAGCGUGGACGACUGUGCCAGAGGUCAAAACCUUUGGAGAAGAAGGCAGUGGACCGCUCCGUGCAGCAGCAUUGCCUCGGACGAGACUUGGCUGCACUGUGGGAACCCCAGAUUAGCACUAAGCCGAUUGCAACGCGAGGUGGGAUCAAGAGCAAUUAAUUUAGCACCCAGAUAGUUCCAGGAAGAGGCUGAAAGAACCUUAACAAAACGCAGAUCUCCUGCAAAACUCCCGUGUAUCCUCUGAGUCAAAUACAAUCUGACUUAACAUUCCUGCUUCUGUCUGUCCUCCACAAAUGAGCUGCCUACAAAGAAUCCCGUGUAAAAGAGAGCAGACGAGAAUUUGGAAGGUCUGAAAGGGUGUGUGGAUGAUAAAAGGAAGGAUAAAAGAAAGAUGAAGACGCUUGGCAGGGGCUGACAUGAGCCAAAACAAACACCCAAAGAACAGGACAUUCUCUUACGGACAAAAAUGGGCCGGCCUUUUCCAAAGGGCUCUCAGCGAGAGCAUGCCUCCGACCCUGCGUCACCCGCUUUCAUUACAAAACAACAUCCUGGUGCAUAACUUAAGGGGAAACGCAGCCUAAAACAGAUUAUUUCUUGUUCAUAUAAUAACACACGAUUCACUCUCAUGUCCUAGCAGUUUUUUUGUCUAUUUUUAUUCUUUUUUUACAGCAAUCAACACCCAGAAUCUGAUUCACAAAUUUUACUAUGGCCCACAAAAUCUCCAUUUUAUGCUCAGCAGGGAUGUUUUAUCCAAAGAACAAGCACCAAAGCCUUCAGAAUAUGUUGCCUUGUUUUUUUUUGUUUUCUGGAGAAAGCUAUCCAUGCUCAUAAACAGUGUGUGAAUUGUUUCAGACAACACAGGUGUAUACUGUGUUGUGGUGCUUCAGGAGCAACGGCUCACCAGCUGAUUAUUACAUCUAAUGAGGUUGUCGUUUUUCUGGAGUAACUACGGGGCAGGUUUAGUUAAACUUUUUAAUUGUAAAUCAGAUUGAAAAAAAAAACAGUCUGCUCCUCCCCCCCGUGCUUCUGCAUCUGUUCGUCUUGCUCUCCCUCCCUCUUUCCUUAUUCGCCUACUUCAUUGUGCUACAAAGCUCCCUCCUUCCCUAACUCCCCACCAAGCCCUGACAACACACUCGGUCAGGCUUUGACAACACCAGACAAGAGCUCCCCCUAGAUACACGAAUCCUCACCCCUUCCAGGAAUGAAUGUGUCUGGAAAGCAAACACAUACUGCUACAUAUAUACAGUUGUAGGAAAAAGUAUGUGAACCCUUUGGAAUUACCUAGAUUUCUGCAUAAAUUGGUCAUAAAAUGUGAUCUGAUUUUCAUCUAAGUCACAACUACAGACAAACACAGUGUGCUUAAACUAACUCCACACGAACAAUUAUAUCUUUCCAUGUGAACCCUUGGAUUUAUUAACUGGUUGGCCCUCCUUGGCAGCAAUAACCUCAACCAAACAUUUCCUGUAGUUGCAGAUCAGGGAUGUGUGGUGUGAAUCAAUCUCUUGAGGUCAUGCCACAGCAUCUCAGUCGGGCUGAGGUCAGGAGUCUGACUGGGCCACUCCAGAAGGAUGCGUUUUCUUCUGCUGAAGCCUUUCUGUUGUUGAUUUACUUCUGUGCUUUGGGUCGUUGUCCUGUUGCAUCACCCAUCUCCUGUUGAGCUUCAACUGGCGGACAGAUGACCUGUAUAUACUCCUGCAAAAUGUCUUGAUAAACUUUGGAAUAAAUGUUUGCGUUGAUAAUAGCAACCCUUCCAGGCCCUAAGGCAGUGAAGCAGCCCCAAAUCAUGAUGACCCCUCCACCAUAACUCACAGCUGGGAUGAGGUUUUAAUUUUGGUGUGCUGUGCCUGUUUUUCUACACACAUAGCGUUGUGUGUUCCUUCCAAACAACUCAACUUUGGUUUCAUCUGUCCACAGAAUAUUUUGCCAGUUGUGCCGUGGAACAUCCAGGCGCUCUUUUGCAGACGUGCAGCAGUGUUUGUUUGUUUUCCAUUUUGGACAGCAGUGGCUUCCUCUGUGGUGUCCUCCCAUGAACUCCAUUCUUGUUUAGUGUUUAUGUAUCAUGGAGUCGUCAACAGAGAUGUUAGCAGAUUUCUGUGAGUCUUCAGCUGACACUGUAGGAUCCUUCUUACCCUCACUGAGCAUUCGGCUCUGUGCUCGUCAUCUUUGCAGGACAGCCACUCCUAGGGAGAGUAGCAACAGUGCUGAACUUUUUCCAUUUAUAGACAGUUUGUCUUACUGUGGACAUCAAGACUUUUAGAGAUACUUCUGUAACCCUUUCCAGCUUCAUGUAAGUCAAUAAUUCUUAAUCUUAGGUCUUCUGAAAGCUUUUUGUCGAGGCAUGGUUCACAUCAGGCAAUGCUUCAUGAGAAUAGCAAAAUUAAAAGUGAUCGUGUUUUUAUAUAGGGCAGGGCAGCUCUAACCAACACCUCAAAUUUCAUCUCAUUGAUUAGACUUCAGGUUGGCUGACUUCUGACUCCAAUGAGCUUUUGGAGAACUCAUUAGCCAAAGGGUUCACAUACUUUUUCCACCCUGCACCGUGACUGUUUACUCAGUGUGUUCAAUUAAACAUGAAAACAUGUAAUUGUUUGUUUGGAGUUAGUUUAAGCAGACUGUGUUUCUUUUGUGACUCUGAAAAUCAGAUCACAUUUCAUGACCAAUUUAUGCAGAAAUCCAGAUAAGGGUUCAAAUCCAAAGGGUUCACAUACUUUUUCCUGCGACUGUAAAUAUACAAAUAUAUGAACUGCCAAGGUAGGAACAAAAAGUUAGAUACCUAUUUCAACUAGUUUUGUUUCUCUUUACACUACAUCACUGUGUAUUAAUGAAUGCUCAAAGAGAAAACCACUGUGAACAACCUACAGCCACCCAUCCAUACAGAUCAUGUGGCAAAUGACAACCAGUCAGAAAAAAAAAACCAACUGAAAAUUUAAGGUAAAUCUAAUCGUAUCCGAAUUUACAGUGGGUUUCUGACUGAAUGAUUAAACUGUGUUCAAAAGCAUUCAGGGCCUGCGAAGUCAUAAUUUUACACAUUUAGUUUAAAGUAAGCUACAUGUUUAAAUCACAUUAUAUGCCAUUUACAAGCACACCAAAAUCAAUUUGUAUAAAUGUCACUUGUAAUCAUUGCAAUGUCAAAGGGGAGGUAACUGCUUCUGAUAUCAUGGUAACAUGUUGUGGAGAGGCUUUACAAACUGCUAUAAUAAUCACAUUUUACAAUUGAAAACGCUUCCUAUCAAACUACAGACCAGACAUCACCAGACCUACGUGCACUAACCUCCUUGGAGCAGUAGAGGGAGCACGACUGACAGCCGUGUGGGACUCACUUCCGCUUUGAAAAUGUGGUUGUGCAAUGUCUUCGCACCGCUGAUCAUUCUCAAUACGAGCCAGAGGAGGGAGCCAGCUGGUCAAUAAUGAAUCCUUUGUAUAGUCAUGGUAUAGCAUGGCACAUGGGGAACAAAGUGAUUUACUGUCACAUUCUUCUGUGCAUUUCAGACGUGGCUUGCACGGGUUUCUGUUUCCGGCUUAUUCACAUAAAACAUAUUAUUUUACUCCAUAAGGAUACUGUAGAUAUGGACAUCUAUCCUUGCUUCAGGGCUUCAAUGAUGCCUCCUUCUGCUGGACCUGCCAAAAAGAAAUGAUGGCAGAGAGGUAGCACCACAUAAAACACUAGGCUGUCCCGCUUGACAUGAAUGUUACAUUUUAACAUGACUACGGUAUGUUAAAAUUAGCUUUGUGUAAUUAUCAGAGAAUAAAAUAAUACCACAGUCCA